rnacentral:rRNA from 1 species
AGGCGAACGUGGGGAACUGAAACAUCUAAGUACCCAUAGGAGGAGAAAAUAAACAAUGAUUCCGUAAGUAGUGGCGAGCGAACACGGAAGAGCCCAAACCCAUGUCGUCUAGGCGACACGGGGGUUGUAGGACCACGACGUGGCAAGAUAGAGUCAAGUGGAACGCCUUGGAAAAGGCGGUCAUAGAGGGUGAAAACCCCGUACACGACUGACGAUUGAAGCCUAGUGGCAUCCUGAGUAGCGCGGGGCACGAGAAAUCUUGCGUGAAUUAGCGGGGCCCAUCCCGUAAGGCUAAAUACUCCCGAGAGACCGAUAGCGAACCAGUACCGUGAGGGAAAGGUGAAAAGAACCCCGAGCAGGGGAGUGAAAUAGACCCUGAACCCGUCUGCCUACAAGCGGUCGGAGCGUCGUAAUGACGUGACGGCGUGCCUUUUGCAUAAUGAACCUACGAGUUACCUUCCCCGGCAAGGUUAAGUUCUUGAGGAACGGAGCCGAAGCGAAAGCGAGUCUGAACAGGGCGCCAAGUCGGGGGGGGUAGACGCGAAACCGAGUGAUCUACCCUUGGCCAGGUUGAAGGUUGGGUAACACCAACUGGAGGACCGGAUGGGUAAGCGUUGAAAAGCUUUCCAAUGAGCUGAGGGUAGGGGUGAAAGGCUAAUCAAACUCGGAGAUAGCUCGUACUCCCCGAAAUGCAUUUAGGUGCAGCCUCUUUAUAGUAUAUCGUGAGGUAGAGCGACUGAUUGGAUGCGAGGGCUUCACCGCCUAUCAAGUCCAGAUAAACUCCGAAUGCGCGAUAUAUAUUUACAGGGAGUGAGGGCGCGGGUGCUAAGGUCCGUGUCCGAGAGGAGAAGAAUCCAGACCACCGGCUAAGGCCCCCAAAUGAUCGUUAAGUUGAACUAACGAGGUCGGAUCGCAGAGACAGCUAGGAUGUUGGCUUGGAAGCAGCCAUUCAUUUAAAGAGUGCGUAACAGCUCACUAGUCGAGCGAUCUGGCGUGGAUAAUAAUCGGGCAUAAACGAUCUGCCGAAGCCGUGGAUGUCGCAAGACAUGGUAGGGGAGCAUUCCAUGCCGCGUCGAAGAUAAGGGAUGACCCUUGUUGGAGCGCAUGGAAAAGCAAAUGUAGGUAUGAGUAACGAUAAGGGGGGCGAGAAACCCCCCCGCCGAAAGACCAAGGUUUCCUGAUCAACGCUAAUCGGAUCAGGGUGAGUCGGGACCUAAGGCAAAGCCGAACGGCGCCGCCGAUGGAAGAAUGGGUUAAUAUUCCCAUACUGCCUCAUGGAGUGACGUGGAGACGGAGAAGUGACAGUCCUGCCGGCUGACGGAAUAGCCGGUUGAAGGGUGUAGAUAUUGAUUCCCGUAGGCAAAUCCGCGGGGAGAGUCGAACCUGAGAGUAUACGGAGCGCUUGCGCAACGUAAUAUGGACGUAACCAUGCUCCCGAGAAAAUCCGCUAAACUUAUCCAUGCGGCACCCGUACCGUAAACGGACACACGUGGUCGGGUUGAGAAUACUGAGGCGCUCGAGUGAUUCACGGUUAAGGAACUAGGCAAAUUGACCCUGUAACUUCGGGAUAAAGGGUCCUCGUCGUAAGGCGAGGCGCAGAGAAUAGGUCCAGGCAACUGUUUAACAAAAACACAUGGCUGUGCUAAAUGGAAACAUGAUGUAUACAGCCUGACACCUGCCCGGUGCCGGAAGGUUAAGAGGAGAUGUCAUCCGCGAGGAGAAGCGUUGAAUUGAAGCCCCGGUAAACGGCGGCCGUAACUAUAACGGUCCUAAGGUAGCGAAAUUCCUUGUCAGGUAAGUUCUGACCCGCACGAAUGGCGUAAUGAUUUGGGCACUGUCUCAACAGCCCGCCCGGCGAAAUUGUAGUACUGGUGAAGAUGCCAGUUACCCGCAACUAGACGGAAAGACCCCAUGGAGCUUUACUGCAGCUUAAUACUGAGAUUCGGUAAUUCAUGUACAGGAUAGGUGGGAGACUUAGAAGCAGAGUCGUUAGGCGCUGUGGAGUCACCCUUGGGAUACCACCCUUGGAUUGCUGGGUUUCUAACCUGCGGCCAUGAAUCUGGUCGGGGGACACUGUUAGGCGGGCAGUUUGACUGGGGCGGUCGCCUCCUAAAGUGUAGCGGAGGCGCUCAAAGCUUGGCUCAGCAUGGAUGGAAAUCAUGCAAUGAGUGUAAACGUAUAAGCCAAGUUGACUGCGAGACCGACGGGUCGAGCAGGUACGAAAGUAGGAGUUAGUGAUCCGGUGGUAUGUGAGUGGAAAUGCCAUCGCUCAACGGAUAAAA